UGAAAAAGUAAAAAGAUCAAAAAGAAAAAUUUAAGAAAAUAAAGUUGAAGGAUAAACGAGUUGGAUUUUGAAAUAGAGUGCACCAAAAUAUCAAAUAGUGAGUCUGGGAGUGCGAGGGUAGGCGGGAGAAAUUGCUCCGAGCAACGUGGCUGAGUAAGAUGGCGGCGAUCAGGAAAGGGAGUGUGAGUUUAGAGGGAAAGAAGGUUAUACUAGUCCCUUAUAUGGAAUCUCAUGUCCCCAAAUAUCAUGAAUGGAUGCAAAACCCUUCUCUCCUUCAAGCCACUGCCUCCGAACCCCUUUCCCUCGAACAAGAGUAUCAGAUGCAACUCUCUUGGUCAUCUGAUCUCAACAAAGAGACCUUCAUUCUUUUGGAUAAGGAUUUGCUUCUUGGAACCUUCUCACACGGUCAACCUCACGUCGAAGCCAUGGUUGGUGAUGUAAAUAUUUUUAUGAAUGACAUCAAUAAUCCUCAAAUCGCUGAGAUUGAAAUUAUGAUUGCUGAACCUACCAGCCGUGGCAAAGGGCUUGGAAAGGAGUCUGUUCUGAUGAUGAUGGCCUUUGCUAUUGAAAAGUUAAGGAUCAAUCUCUUUGAGGUUAAAAUUGGAGAAUCAAAUGUAGAAUCCAUCAACUUGUUCAAAAAAUUGGGGUUUGUGGAAACUUCACAUAGCAACAUUUUCAAAGAGGUGACUUUGGAGUUGCAAAUAACACAAGCCAAGAGUGAGGAGAUGCUUGGUUUGAUGGAAGAAGUUCCCAGAGAUGAAAGCUCAUAGUAUAUUGGCUUUGAAUGAGCCAUACAAGAUAGAGAUUUUGGAAGGCUUUAAGGAAGAACCCAUCACAAUUUAUCAUAUCGCCAUUUGCAAAAUUUCGUACGUCUUCUGGUAGAUGUUUGGCCGACUACUGUUUGUACACUUUUUCACAUCAAAAUACACUUUCAACUACCUACUUAUGGAGGAGGAGAUCGUAAAUCCUUUUGUUCAAGGAGAAAGUUCUUAAGUCCAGAAUAAUCAGUCUGAAGAAUUAUAGAACAUCCAGCAUGCUUAUCGACUAAAUGGAAAAAUUUAUUUGAAGUGGGUCCAACUUAUUCGUACUGUGUUAAAAGGAAAAGGUAAACUCAGUCACUUAACUGGUACUGGACCAGUAGAGGGAGAUCCAACCAUUAUUGCAUGGGAUGAGGAGGACUCGAUGAUUAUGGCAUGACUAUCGAACUCAAUGAUUCCAGAAAUUAGUGAUACUUGCAUGUUUCUUAGCACUGCAAAAGAAAUUUGGGAUGCAAUAGAGCAAACUUAUUCGAAGGCCAUAGAUGUUGCUUAAGUUUAUGAUGUGAAGUGAAAACAAUUGCUGCUAAGUAAGAAAAUAAAUCUGUUACAUAAUAUGCCAACAAAUUGAAGUCUCUUUGGAUGGAAUUGGAUCACUAUAGAGUGAUAAAAACUAUUGUGCAGCAGACUCAUCAAUCCUUAAAAGAGUUUAUUGAACAAGAUAGGGUUUAUGACUUUCUUGUGGGAUUAAAUUCUGAUUUUGAUCAGGUAAGAAUUCAGAUUCUAGAAAAGCCUCAAGUUCCUUCCUUAAAUGAGGUUGUUGCCAUCGUAAGAAGUGAGGAGAGUAGAACAAACUUAAGGUUAGAUACCCUAUCCAUUGAAAGUUCAUCCAUGAUUGUUGAAAAUCUUAAAGGUGGGGGACAAGCAAAGGUGGAAAAGAAGGGUGAAUUGUGGUGUACUUACUGCAAUAAGCCGCGACAUAUACGUGAGAAGUGUUGGAAGUUGCAUGGAAAACCUCCUAGUCGUGAAGAAGGAUAAAGAUGAGGCAUUCUCGGGGGUGUAUCUCGCAAAAAUAGUAGGGCUUAUGCUGCUGAAGUGGGGUGUUUAAUAAACAAUGUAUGAUCUCCAUUACUUUGUUUGUAACCUAAUGUUGUCAUAGCCUUAGUAAACAUUCUAAACCAUGCCCAAGGUGAAUGUUCCAAUCCAUAUAAUGUCUUUUGCUACUUACAAACAGAAUUGCCAGCAAACAUUUUUUCUUA